rnacentral:lncRNA from 1 species
GUACCUUGUCGUCGACGGAGAAGAACCCUAGAUCUAGGGUUCCGCCACCACUGCCGCCGUCGACGCUUCGCUGCCGCGCCUCCACCGCCACUGUCGCCGCUCUCUUGCUGCCACCGAGCCGCCUCUCUUCUUGUCAUCGGACCAUCCUCAUCCACCGCCGCCGCCGCUUUCCUCUGCGACCACAUACACCGCUGCCCGGUCACACCGCCGCCACUCCCUCCAUCUUCUCCGUUGCCUCCACUCUUUCCCCAACCCUCGAGUUCUCCCAUUUCUUCCCCCUUCCAGCUCACCGAGACCCUUCUCCCUUCCAUACCUCAUCCCUCAGACCCUAAUCUUCUUUUCUUCUCCCUCCCAUCUCACCGAAACCUCCCUCCCAUCUCUUUCCCCGCGCCACCACCUCCACCUCCGUUGCCGACUCCAUCGUCCACCCUCGCCGCUUCCUUCGCUCCCCAAAACGAAGAUCGCCACCCAUCGUCCGCCUCUCUUCUUCCACCCGAUCUCCCUCAGCUCCUCUCCCGAUCACACAGAGGGAUCCGAAGCCAUCCAGAAGCUUCGGGUCCCAUCUAGUCUCCGCUUUCGGGCGAGUGGGCCGGCCCAGCAUCUAGCCUGCUGUCACGCGAGCCCAGCUGAUCCUCUGGCCCAGUAUCUUGCGGGCCCAGCUUUCAGGCCCUGCACCUGGAUCCAGACCCUGCCGUGAGUUGGGCUUCUACAACGACACUGCAGUCAGCCAUUUUUCAGCAGCAUCUUCUACAAAUCGUCGGGUUCCGGUUCUGCAUCCUACACUCUGACAUCCAAACUCAUCCACUGAAUCAGAUCUGUAAGAAGAGGUCGUAUCUUUCCUUUACAUAAUUAUUUUUCAGCCUUUCCCUAUAAACUAGUUUAUCUUUAGAUUAUUAUUGUUUUCACUUCAUGUUGUCGGUUUGAGAUAGGACUUUAAUUUUAUAAAAGCCUAUGCCCCUUGAAAACACAUAUUGAGCCUUACAAAUUAUUUUCAAAUCCUCGAAAGGCAACUAGGAAAUUUUACUUGAAUCUGGUGAAACCCAAAUCAAUUUGAAGGACCCCAC